AGUGGCGGACGGGUGAGUAACGCGUGAGAAUCUGCCUUGGGGUCGGGGACAACCACUGGAAACGGUGGCUAAUACCGGAUACGCCUUCGGGUAAAAGAUUUAUUGCCCUAAGAGGAGCUCGCGUCUGAUUAGCUAGUUGGUGAGGUAAGAGCUCACCAAGGCAGCGAUCAGUAGCUGGUCUGAGAGGACGAUCAGCCACACUGGGACUGAGACACGGCCCAGACUCCUACGGGAGGCAGCAGUGGGGAAUUUUCCGCAAUGGGCGAAAGCCUGACGGAGCAAGACCGCGUGAGGGAGGAAGGCUCUUGGGUUGUAAACCUCUUUUCUCAGGGAAGAAGCUCUGACGGUACCUGAGGAAUCAGCCUCGGCUAACUCCGUGCCAGCAGCCGCGGUAAUACGGAGGAGGCAAGCGUUAUCCGGAAUUAUUGGGCGUAAAGCGUCCGCAGGUGGCGAUUCAAGUCUGCUGUCAAAGCACGGGGCUUAACUCCGUAAAGGCAGUGGAAACUGAAUAGCUAGAGUGCCGUAGGGGUAGAGGGAAUUCCCGGUGUAGCGGUGAAAUGCGUAGAGAUCGGGAAGAACAUCGGUGGCGAAAGCGCUCUACUGGACGGCAACUGACACUCAGGGACGAAAGCUAGGGGGAGCGAAUGGGAUUAGAUACCCC
rnacentral:rRNA from 1 species